CCAAUCUUAACUCAGUGGUAGAGCGGAGGAUUGGAAUGGGUUGCCGUCAUAUCAUCCUUAGGUUGCUAGUUUGAAUCCGGCAGGUCGGG
rnacentral:tRNA from 1 species